UUUAGUUAGAGGUUAGACACUGGUUAGGGGAUGUUAGUUAUGCUUCCCUUCAAGAAACAUAAAACAUAAAAAAUGUUAUGUUAUCUUUCUUUUUUUCGCGCUAUGCUGACUUGCUGACAGCUCAAAACAAAACAAAGAAAAAAGAAAAUGCGUUUUGUUUCUGGAUCAAGUCUUGAUCGUCUUGAUGGUACUGCAUCUCAGGUAUACGCCAGUAAUCAUGGAAAAAUUCGAUAGUGCACCUGAAUUUUGCGGUUUUUUCGGGAGUAGGCAAUAGAAGCUGCUGUGGAUAAGAGCAAAAUGGAGCCAGCGAUGGACAGCGAAUCGUAUGAACUGCACCAGAAAUAUUUCAUGGCGAUCGUUGCUUAAGUGCAUAAAGAUGGACUUUUGAGACCGGCGCUUGUAAAAACGGUUGUCAAAGGUCGAGAAUGACCUCGUAUCUACAGGAGCGAAGCAAUGCGACAAAAAAUUGAAUGCGUCAAUGCACCGAAGUGGAAAAGUCUCGUCGUGAAGCGAAAAAACGACGCGACGGUUGGUUGAGGCAGAAAAAACUGCUGCGCAGAAUGAAUUCGAGUCCGUUCCGGUCACGCUGGUUGCAUCCUGAGAAGCCACGAUGCUGGAGACGGGCGCCGUCAGCCUGACGAUGGAACAGUGCAUGAAGAUGGAUACACCCAAUAUACGCAGGAUAGUUUUAGUUUAGUGAAGAGUUUUGUUGUUCUUUAGUGAAGAGUUUUGUUGCCUUUCUACACUUUUCAAAAUUCAAUGUGUGAUGCAACGGCAUGGGCAUAAUUUCAGUUGAACAUACCCAAAACAGUUGAUCGUAACGGUAUCAAUGCGAGUAAUUUGCACUGGCUGAAGACGACUAU